rnacentral:rRNA from 1 species
GACGAACCGUGCAAGCGUUGUUCGGAUUUACUGGGCGUAAAGGGCGCGUAGGCGGUCAGCACAAGUCAAUUGUGAAAUCUCCGAAGCUUAACUCGGAAAGGUCAACUGAAACUGUGCGACUAGAGUGCGGAAGGGGCAACUGGAAUUCUUGGUGUAGCGGUGAAAUGCGUAGAUAUCAAGAGGAACACCUGCGGCGAAGGCGGGUUGCUGGGCCGACACUGACGCUGAAGCGCGAAAGCCAGGGGAGGCGAACGGG